UGUUUUAGAUUUACUCCGCAACCGAUGGUGAAACAGAAAUUGGGAAAAUUCAGAAGCAAUGGACCAAUCUUCUUCAAGAAAUGUUCACGUCGGCAGAUAAUUUUUGUGUAACGUUUCCCAUGGAAUUAGAUGUCAAAAUGAAAGCCGUGAUCAUUGGCGCAACAAUUCUUAUUGACUUUAUGUACUUUGAAGGACAUGCAAACAGAAAUCGCCACUACUACUAAUCGUGCAAGAGCACAGGACAGAGUAGAACAGCACAGAACAGCACUACUCAUUACUACACAUGGCAGAAAGAAAAGAAAACGUAAACCUGCACCUAAUCAUAGAAGACACAGCACUACAACUUAUUAUACAAGGAUAUCAAUACAACAAAUAAUCAUACACGAACAUGUCAGAAGACAUCCGCAAAUCAAACAAUCAUACAUGAACGCAGACAGAAGACAUCAGCAAAACAAAUAAUGAGCGCUAAAACAAAAACAAAAAAAAACAAACAAAAAAACAACUACAAAUAAUCAUACAAGUGCCCAGAACGAAUACGCUCUAAAUAAUCAUAUAAAUUACAAAAAAGAAGUCAAUAACAUUACUUCUUGUAACACUACCAUAGAUCAUACUAUUUUAUAAUAUUAA